rnacentral:rRNA from 1 species
UACGUAGGGUGCAAGCGUUGUCCGGAAUUAUUGGGCGUAAAGAGCUCGUAGGCGGUUUGUCGCGUCUGCUGUGAAAACCCGAGGCUCAACCUCGGGCCUGCAGUGGGUACGGGCAGACUAGAGUGCGGUAGGGGAGAUUGGAAUUCCUGGUGUAGCGGUGGAAUGCGUAGAUAUCGGGAGGAACACCAGUGGCGAAGGCGGUUGCCUGGGGCUUUGCUGACGCUGAUGCGCGAAAGCGUGGGGAGCGAUCCGG